rnacentral:rRNA from 1 species
CAGCCGCCGCGGGAAUACGUAGGUGGCAAGCGUUGUCCGGAUUUAUUGGGCGUAAAGCGAGCGCAGGCGGUUCCUUAAGUCUGAUGUGAAAGCCCACGGCUCAACCGUGGAAGGUCAUUGGAAACUGGGGAACUUGAGUGCAGAAGAGGAGAGUGGAAUUCCAUGUGUAGCGGUGAAAUGCGUAGAUAUAUGGAGGAACACCAGUGGCGAAGGCGACUCUCUGGUCUGUAACUGACGCUGAGGCUCGAAAGCGUGGGGAGCAAACAGGAUUAGAUACCCCCGUAGUCCCUGUCUCUUAUAC